rnacentral:lncRNA from 1 species
GGGGAACACAGGGCGACUGGCCCAAGUAGGCCACCCGAUCGUCGGAUUCUAAAACUCUGAUGAUACUUUUUCCAGCUGCACAGAUGCCUACGGCUGCUGCUGCUGCUACAUCAUCUGCACUGCUUCGGUGAGGCCCCUGAUCUGCUGAACUAGCAAGUCAAACUGCUCCAUGCCGACCGUCGUUGUCGGAGGAGGAAGAGCUUGGAAAACUGGAGACGAGGCCGGA